UACGUAGGGUGCAAGCGUUGUCCGGAAUUAUUGGGCGUAAAGAGCUCGUAGGCGGUUUGUUGCGUCGGCUGUGAAAUCCCGAGGCUCAACCUCGGGUCUGCAGUCGAUACGAGCAAACUAGAGUGUUGCAGGGGAGACUGGAAUUCCUGGUGUAGCGGUGAAAUGCGCAGAUAUCAGGAAGAACACCCGUGGCGAAGGCGGCUUUCUGGGACGGUACUGACGCUGAGACGCGAAAGCCAGGGGAGCGAAUGGG
rnacentral:rRNA from 1 species